GGCUGGGGGCGCAAUCGGUUACCGUGUUCGGCCGCUAACCGAAAGGUCGGUGGUUCCAGCCCACCCAGAGAUG